rnacentral:misc_RNA from 1 species
AACGCACAUUGCGCCCCUUGGUAUUCCAUGGGGCAUGCCUGUUCGAGCGUCAUUUGUACCUUCAAGCUCUGCUUGGUGUUGGGUGUUUGUCUCGCCUCUGCGCGCAGACUCGCCUCAAAACAAUUGGCAGCCGGCGUAUUGAUUUCGGAGCGCAGUACAUCUCGCGCUUUGCACUCAUAACGACGACGUCCAAAAGUACAUUUUUUACACUCUUGACCUCGGAUCAGGUAGGGAUACCCGCUGAACUUAA